rnacentral:tRNA from 2 species
GCCCCCGUAGCCCAACAGGCAGAGGCGAGCCCCUUAAAAGGGUUUGAGUGCCGGUUCGAAUCCGGUCGGGGGCA